ensembl:lncRNA
UGGAGAGAGAUGAGGACAGAGAAGGGUCAUGGAGAGAGAUGAGGACAGAGAAGGGUCAUGGAGAGAGAUGAGGACAGAGAAGGUUAUGGAGAGAGAUGAGGACAGAGAAGGUCAUGGAGAGAGAUGAGGACAGAGAAGGGUCAUGGAGAGAGAUGAGGACAGAGAAGGGUCAUGGAGAGAGAUGAGGACAGAGAAGGGUCAUGGAGAGAGAUGGGGACAGAGAAGGGUUAUGGAGAGAGAUGGGGACAGAGAAGGGUCAUGGAGAGAGAUGAGGACAGAGAAGGGUCAUGGAGAGAGAUGAGGACAGAGAAGGUUAUGGAGAGAGAUGAGGACAGAGAAGGUUAUGGAGAGAGAUGGAGAGAUGAGGACAGAGAAGGGUCAUGGAGAGAGAUGAGGACAGAGAAGGGUCAUGGAGAGAGAUGAGGAUAGAGAAGGUUAUGGAGAGAGAUGAGGAUAGAGAAGGUUAUGGAGAGAGAUGAGGACAGAGAAGGUUAUGGAGAGAGAUGAGGACAGAGAAGGUUAUGGAGAGAGAUGAAGAGAU